AUGUACACCUACGUUAGUCAAGUGUUGAUGUUUUCCAGCCAGAAUACCUCAGCAGAACAGCUGCUGGGCUUGGGGGCCACCGAGAAACCUCAGAGAGAUGGAACCAGCAUCUGCAGGCAGGGCAGGACGGCGGCUCGGACGGCCAAGCAUGAGAACCUGCAGCGAAGCGGAUGUGAGGCCCUGCUCAGUGCUCCUCCUCCGGUCCAGAGGAGAUCCAGGUCUCUGGAUCGGAGGACAUCGGACAUCGUCAUGACUUUCUGAAAAACGCUGUGAGGUAAGAGGAUGCAGAAUACACCCGAGGGAAAAGCCGAAAGAGAAGAUUCAUUAAAUAAAAAA
rnacentral:lncRNA from 1 species